AGUCGAGCGCACUCUUCGGAGUGAGCGGCGGACGGGUUAGUAACGCGUGGGAACGUACCCAGAUCUAAGGAAUAGCCACUGGAAACGGUGAGUAAUACCUUAUACGCCCUUCGGGGGAAAGAUUUAUCGGAUUUGGAUCGGCCCGCGUUAGAUUAGGUAGUUGGUGGGGUAAUGGCCUACCAAGCCUACGAUCUAUAGCUGGUUUUAGAGGAUGAUCAGCAACACUGGGACUGAGACACGGCCCAGACUCCUACGGGAGGCAGCAGUGGGGAAUCUUAGACAAUGGGCGCAAGCCUGAUCUAGCCAUGCCGCGUGAGUGAUGAAGGCCUUAGGGUCGUAAAGCUCUUUCGCCUGUGAUGAUAAUGACAGUAGCAGGUAAAGAAACCCCGGCUAACUCCGUGCCAGCAGCCGCGGUAAUACGGAGGGGGUUAGCGUUGUUCGGAAUUACUGGGCGUAAAGCGCACGUAGGCGGAUUAGAAAGUUAGGGGUGAAAUCCCGGGGCUCAACCUCGGAACUGCCUCUAAAACUCCUAGUCUAGAGUUCGAGAGAGGUGAGUGGAAUUCCAAGUGUAGAGGUGAAAUUCGUAGAUAUUUGGAGGAACACCAGUGGCGAAGGCGGCUCACUGGCUCGAUACUGACGCUGAGGUGCGAAAGUGUGGGGAGCAAACAGGAUUAGAUACCCUGGUAGAAGGGC
rnacentral:rRNA from 1 species